rnacentral:tRNA from 1 species
GUUUCUGUCCUGUAGUGGUUAUCACGUUUGCCUCACAUGUGAAAGGGCCCCGGUUUGAAACCGGGCAGAAACA